GAUGAACGCUGGCGGCGUGCCUAAUACAUGCAAGUCGAGCGAACGGACGAGACGCUUGCUUCUCUGAUGUUAGCGGCGGACGGGUGAGUAACACGUGGAUAACCUACCUAUAAGACUGGGAUAACUUCGGGAAACCGGAGCUAAUACCGGAUAAUACUUUGAACCGCAUGGUUCAAAAGUGAAAGACGGUCUUGCUGUCACUUAUAGAUGGAUCCGCGCUGCAUUAGCUAGUUGGUAAGGUAACGGCUUACCAAGGCAACGAUGCAUAGCCGACCUGAGAGGGUGACCGGCCACACUGGAACUGAGACACGGUCCAGACUGCUACGGGAGGCAGCAGUAGGGAAUCUUCCGCACUGGGCGAAAGCCUGACGGAGCAACGCCGCGUGAGUGAUGAAGGUCUUCGGAUCGUAAAACUCUGUUAUUAGGGAAGAACAUAUGUGUAAGUAACUGUGCACAUCUUGACGGUACCUAAUCAGAAAGCCACGGCUAACUACGUG
rnacentral:rRNA from 1 species